GUUUAAUAUAGACUAGAUUUUAACCCGCGGUACACCGCAGGGACAAUUUUUUAUUU
rnacentral:sRNA from 1 species